rnacentral:lncRNA from 1 species
AGCUUCUCCUGUGGCACCAUGAAGCCCUUGAUAGCUCUGACUAGCUUCACCUGGCACCUCCUCUGCCCAUGAGCCUGGCCUGGGCAGUACUAUGGGCAUGCCACUGCCCCCGUCUCCUGAUGUAGGUGUUGAUUUCAGCUUUGGGGACACUGUGUGGUCACAGAUGUGUGGUCCCCAUGGAUGCCUGCCUGCUCAGCCAGGGGCAUCAUUGCGUUGGGCAAGCUGUGGCCUGGGCAGCGACAGUGGUGUCAGAGGACCCAUGGUGGAGCUUUGGAGGCUGGACUGAUGAGAGCAUCCUGCCCUGGUCCCUGGUUCCAGCCAGAGCCAACAAGUGAGAUGCAUGUGAAAAUGAAAGAGGUAUAUGGAGCAAUAAUAAAGUCCCUCUUGCCAAAUCUGAAAAAUGUCAUCUUGGAUUUCAUGAAAGAGUGAGAAUGAACGUUACUGCCUGCAGACUCACUGGAGAAAGGGAGGGAAGGAAAAAAGUAUUUCCAUAGGUGUUAUGAAGGUCGUGGAAGUCAUAUGGCUCCUGAGGCAGGGUUGCUGACUGAGCAUUUGCCAACCCUUCCACAUCCAUAUCCCUCAACCUGUCUUACAUGCGCAGUAGAGCAAAUUUGAGGGGAGGAAUGGAAGAAGAUGCUGCUUUUUCUGGCCUGGGAUGACUACUGCCUGUGUGCUGAGUUGUUCUCCUUCUGCACAGUAGCUGGAAUGGUUUCUGGUUCUCUCUCAACCCUGCCCAGCUGGGAUCCUUCAGCAUCACCCAUGGGGUGGUGUGAGUGUACUUACCACACAAGCAUAGAACCACAGAGAAGUUUCCCUCUUUAGCUUGACUUGAGCUGUUGAGGCAUGAGAGAUUUGCUGGAGAACAUUUGGCUAUAUGUUUUCCUCACAGGGUUUCUUUAACAACUUGAGAAUGACCCAGUGUCAGGAUGCACAGGGACAGAAGUUAUUCUAUAUCCUCUGGGCUGCAAGGUUAGUGUUGAAUUAACAAAGUUUGGCUUUGUGUAUAACUACAUAUAGCAAUUAUGUGCUUCUAGCUCUGCAUGAUUCCUCCAUCUGUUGUAACUGCCACAGUUUAUAAAUAAAUAAAUAAAUAAGGGCUUAUAUUGCUGUGAA